UACAGGGGGUGCAACCGUUGCUCGGAAUCAUUGGGCGUAAAGCGCACGUAGGCGGUCUGUUAUGUCGGAUGUGAAAGCCCUUGGCUUAACUGAGGAAGUGCAUCCGAAACUGGCAGGCUAGAGUACUAAAGAGGGUCGUGGAAUUCCCGGUGUAGUGGUGAAAUGCGUAGAUAUCGGGAGGAACACCAGUGGCGAAGGCGACUACCUGGCCUGUUCUUGACGCUGAGGCGCGAAAGCUAGGGGAGCAAACGGG
rnacentral:rRNA from 1 species